rnacentral:tRNA from 1 species
CCUUUAAGGGAGACCUACCCUUGAUUACUCCGAGAGUUAAUUUAUAGGAGAAUUGAGAGGUCACUCUAGGUCGUACAGGGAUUGAGGAAGAGUUUCUAAACUAAGUCGAGGUUAAUCGGUCUGAGGCAGUCUGUAUGGCUGUUUGGGAGAGAUUAGCGGGGGCUAUUAGCUCAGGUGGUUAGAGCGCACCCCUGAUAAGGGUGAGGUCCCUGGUUCGAGUCCAGGAUGGCCCACUAAGCGUGGGGGUAUAGCUCAGCUGGUAGAGCGCCUGCUUUGCAAGCAGGAUGACAGCGGUUCGAGUCCGCUUACCUCCACCAGAGAGGGAUAUUCAGUUAGCACAUUGUAGGUUGUUCAUCGAAGAGAUGGGUGACGUAUAGUCUGCUAGGUGAGAGCCUAGUGAAGGACCUAGACAACUGAAUACGAGAGAAGUGUAAGGUAGUACACACAGAACAUGAGUGUUCGUUGAGAGCAGAGUGAGUUCAGUUAGUUUAUCUAGCGAGAGUUAGGUGAAUUGGAUGAAUGA